CCCCAGAAAAGCCUCAGUCAAACAUGUCAGCCUCCGUGAACUGGCUUCAUGCGCCAUAGGAGUCCAUGAUCCACUCCACCGUUGGCUUGGCUGUAUGCUUUGGGUCAUUGCCAUGCUGAAAGGUGAACCGUGGCCCCAGUCUGAGGUUGCGUGCACUCUGGAGCAGGUUUUCAUCAAAAAUCUCUGUACUUGGCUACAUUCAUACUUCUGACCAGACUCCCUGUCCCUGAAGCUAAGAAGCAUGAUGCUGCCACCACCAUGCUUCACCAUAGGGAUGCCAUUAGCCAGGUGGACUCCAAUCAAGUUCAUGACACAUCUCAAGGAUAAUUACAGGAUGCCCAUGACCACAAUUAUGAAUGUCUGGAUACUUAGUAUUCAGUGAAUAAUCA